CGUUGGGAGACGCCGUUUGGUGCGUGACGCAAGUGAGAAACCGCUGAUCACUAAGAAGCAAAGACUCUCCUCACAAGCUAGCUCUGGAGCUGUCACCGACUGUACGCAACCCGCCGAGCAGGUCAACGUCUCGGCCUCGACGUCACAACCAACUGCUGCUGAGCACACGGUAGGUUCAAGUUAAGCUAGAGUUGAUGUGAGCAGCAGCAUGAUCUGCUGAAUGCGAUAAACAUAUCUUGGGUGGUAAUCUAUUGCACUGAGCAUGCAAAGCUGAUGCGUUCCUUU